CUGUUGAAUAAGGAUGCCUUGCAGUCUCUUACGUGUGUCUGCAAUAGCCUCGUCAAACAAUUCUUUGGGCUGGCAAGCUAUUUGUACAAUCUGUAGAGGGCGGUAGUGACAUCAUUGUACGCCCUUAUUAUUGUUCAUUGGGUGAACACCAGCGUACAUUCGAGAGAAUAAUUACUCUGAAAUUCGGGAGUCUCCCGGGAAAAUUGGGAGGGUUGGCAGGUGUGACACUGUCAAGCGGCAUAUAUAUAAAACUUGCGGGCCGCACUAACAUAACAUUUUCAUAUUAAGGUGCGGGACACAUGUCUGAGAACCCUGGUUUAUACAUAGCACAAAGCAAAAAAAAAACUCUGUAUGCAGUAUUAUUUCAUUAUAAAUUUCAAAAGAGUUACAGUAUGUGGCUCCCAUUGUUUUCUUAUUUUGUGAAACGGGUCAAAAUGGUUCUUUGAGUGGUAAAGGUUGGCGACCCCUGCUCUAUCCUGUAGACAAGUCAGGGAGCUAAGACAUCACCAACGGAUGCAUAAGGAGUGGUCACUCUGGGUCCCGACUCUGUAUUGUGAAAGACCAGUCCACUGGGAGGCCAGCAGGGGAUCCUCUUAAAUUGAGACAAGUCAACAGUGCAAAGACAUCACCAACUGAUGUAAAGAGGAGAGGUUCAUCCUGGGUCCCUACUUUGAACAGCUAGCGGCGUCAUCAGUGGAGGCUGAUCCGUGGUCACCAGAUAAUCUCUCCAAGCAGGAAAAGAGGGCAGUGGCAGAAAAGAGAGACGGCAGAUCAACUGGUCCAAAAUGUGUUUAUUUUAACGUUUGAGUAUACAAAUGAGUUUUAGGAUGGGACUUAAAUGCUUCUACUGAGGUAGCAUCUCUAACUGUUAGCAGGAGGGCAUUCCAGAGUACUGGAGCCUGAAUAGAAAACGGUCUAAAACCUGCAGACUUUUUUGGGCUCUGGGAAUCACUAGUAAGCUGGAGUUCUUUGAAUGCCGAUUUCUGGCCAGGAGUUAUGGUACAAUACAAUCAUCAAGAUAGGAUGGAGAUAGACCGUUGAGUAUUUCAUACAUAAGUAGUAAAACCUUAAAGUCACAUCUUAAGUGCACAGGAGGCCAGUGCAUGUGAGCCAGUAUAGGCGUAAUAUGAUCAAAUUUUAUUGUUCUUGUCAAAAGUCUAGCAGUCACAUUUUCUACCAACUGUAAUGUUUUAAUGCUAGACAUGGGGAGAGCCAAAAAUAUUACGUUACAGUAAUCGAGACGAGACGAAACGGACGCAUGAAUAAUGAUCUCAGCGUUCGUGGUGGACAAAAUGGGACACAUUUUAAUGAUAUUACGGAGAUGAAAGAAGGCUGUUUUAGUAACACUCUUAAUGUGUGACUCAAACGAGAGAAUUGGGUUGAAGAUAAUACCCAGAUUCUUUACCGAGUCGCUUUGUGUAGUUGUUUGGUUGUCAAAUGUUAAGGUGGUCUUAUUAAAUAAGUGCCGAUGUCUAGCAGGACCGUUUUCUUAGGAUUAUGAUGCAAAAAGUUUCUGGACAUCCAUUGUUUGAUUUCAUUCUUUAAUAAGAUAAGGUGACUACAAUUUGAGGUGUUGGUUAUUUUUAGGGGCAUGUAGAGUUGGGUUUUAUCAGCAUAAAAGUGAAAGCUAAUACCAUAUUUGCGUAUGAUGUCACCGAGUGGCAACAUGUAAAUACUGAAGAGUGCAGGGCCAAGAACCGAACCCUGAGGAACUCCACACGUUACCUUAACAUAGUCCGAGGUCACAUUUUUAUGGGAGACGCACUGCAUCCUGUCAGUAAGAUAGGAGUUAAACCAAAAAAAGAUGAAGUCUGACAUACCAAUAUGUAAUAAUACCUGCAAACACUUUAAUACAACCAAAACUGUUUGUGUGUAUGCCGUUUUCUGGAUUUGAUUGUACACCUUUUUUUAGUAGGAAAAGCACACAACCCUUGAUACUGUACAUGAGGAGCCUGGUGUGUACGCUUGAACUACUUUACAAAUCCACAUCCGAACAAUGAACCAGAAAAGCAAGAAGCUCCGCUGAGAGAGCAGCCUGACACGCCCCGAAGCGCUCUGCCUACAAGGCCGCGGGUAAUCUGCAAUCAGCGCACCUGGUUCUGAUGAGCCUCAGCAGUAUAAAGAUCAACGCAGCAGACGAUCCAGUGCCGGAACGUAGUUCGCUGUUCACAUAUUUCCCGUCGCCUUAGAAGUGAGCUGUGCACCUCACUUCUCUGGAUCUCCCUCUGGACCCUGACUGCCUCCCUCGAUCCUCAACUUCCCUCGCGUUGGAUCCGGACCCCAGGAUGCCUCUCUCCAGUCCCAUGGACAUCACGCUUCGAUCACGGACUUCUUUCUGCCCGGCUCCUUUGGACUUGUUCGCCUCUACAACCAACACACACUAAUAACAAACUCCUGGUAAAUACUAUCUUGUUAAUUCCUGCACAUAAUCUUGCAUGCACACACAGAGUGUCAUGUCUGUGUUCAUGUUUCGUUUUAGUCAUGUUCGGGGGGUUUUUUUGGACAUUGUUUCCUGUUUUUGCACUUCCUUGUUUGCUUUGUUUCCAUGCCGACCAAUUAGUUUUCACCUGUCCCCAUGUCAGGCACAUGUUUUCAAUCAUCAUGGUAUUAUUUAAGCCACAGUUACCAGCUAGUCAGCCUGGCAACAGCACCUCCUGCACCCAUGAUAUCCAUGCUGUUUUUUCUCAUACCCUUGUCAGAGUAAGUUUUCUCGUUAUUUAUGCCACAGUGCAAGUUUUUGUUUCAUGUUUAUAGUUAAUAACCUUUGUGCUAGUAUUUUGUUUCAUAGCCCAGUUUUUGUAUCGCCAUUGUGCGCGCUUUUUGUUGGUUCCUGUUUUUGGUUGUAGCGUCAAAAUAAAAGAUGUCUCUACCUUCACACCAUCUCCGGUCCAAGUUCACUUGCUUCUCGGGAAAACAACCACUUCAUAGUCCAAGUCGUGACACAUAGUAGCAUAGACACACCACUCACUCAUCAAAAUCUCA